rnacentral:rRNA from 1 species
AGAGUUUGAUCCUGGCUCAGAUUGAACGCUGGCGGCAUGCUUUACACAUGCAAGUCGAACGGUAACAGGCCUUCGGGCGCUGACGAGUGGCGAACGGGUGAGUAAUGCAUCGGAACGUGCCCAGUCGUGGGGGAUAACUAUCCGAAAGGAUAGCUAAUACCGCAUACSAUCUGCGGAUGAAAGCGGGGGACCUUCGGGCCUCGCGCGAUUGGAGCGGCCGAUGUCAGAUUAGGUAGUUGGUGGGGUAAAGGCUCACCAAGCCAACGAUCUGUAGCUGGUCUGAGAGGACGACCAGCCACACUGGGACUGAGACACGGCCCAGACUCCUACGGGAGGCAGCAGUGGGGAAUUUUGGACAAUGGGCGCAAGCCUGAUCCAGCAAUGCCGCGUGCAGGAAGAAGGCCUUCGGGUUGUAAACUGCUUUUGUACGGAACGAAACGGCUCUGGUUAAUACCCGGGGCUAAUGACGGUACCGUAAGAAUAAGCACCGGCUAACUACGUGCCAGCAGCCGCGGUAAUAC